UACGAAGGGGGCUAGCGUUGCUCGGAUUUACUGGGCGUAAAGGGAGCGUAGGCGGGACGACAAGUCAGAGGUGAAAGCCCGGGGCUCAACCUCGGAAUAGCCUUUGAGACUGUCGACCUAGAGUUCGGGAGAGGUGUGUGGAACUCCGAGUGUAGAGGUGAAAUUCGUAGAUAUUCGGAAGAACACCAGUGGCGAAGGCGACACACUGGCCCGAGACUGACGCUGAGGCUCGAAAGCGUGGGGAGCAAACAGG
rnacentral:rRNA from 1 species